AGUCAUAUGCUUGUCUCAAAGAUUAAGCCAUGCAUGUCUCAGUACAAGCCGAAUUAAGGUGAAACCGCGAAAGGCUCAUUAAAUCAGUUAUGGUUCCUUAGAUCGUACCCACAUUUACUUGGAUAACUGUGGUAAUUCUAGAGCUAAUACAUGCAAACAGAGCUCCGACCGGAGACGGAAGGAGCGCUUUUAUUAGAUCAAAACCAAUCGGCGGCGGGUUCGCUCGUCGUCGUACACCUUGGUGAAUCUGAAUAACUUUCUGCUGAUCGCAUGGUCUCGCACCGGCGACGCAUCUUUCAAAUGUCUGCCUUAUCAACUGUCGAUGGUAGGUUCUGCGCCUACCAUGGUUGUAACGGGUAACGGGGAAUCAGGGUUCGAUUCCGGAGAGGGAGCCUGAGAAACGGCUACCACAUCCAAGGAAGGCAGCAGGCGCGCAAAUUACCCACUCCCGGCACGGGGAGGUAGUGACGAAAAAUAACGAUACGGGACUCAUCCGAGGCCCCGUAAUCGGAAUGAGUACACUCUAAACCCUUUAACGAGGAUCAAUUGGAGGGCAAGUCUGGUGCCAGCAGCCGCGGUAAUUCCAGCUCCAAUAGCGUAU
rnacentral:rRNA from 8 species